GAUUCAGUGAGAGUGAUCCCAAAACAUCGGAAACAUAGGAAAAAUCAAUAGCAAACUGUUCACAACUGACUAUAGCACUGUGAACUGUUCCUGGUUGCGCCUGCAAAUCCGCUAUCAUAAUAGCAAUCCGCUAUGGAACAAGCGUGCCUGUUGUUAAAGGGAAUGUGAGAUGACGCUCUGAUUGGUUUAUUGCACGUUACGCCCAAACCACACCCAUGAAUAAUGUAGCUGCUACAGACCACCCCAUUUUAGAUUUGCGUUGGGCACAACAGUCAUUUGCGCGAAGUCAAUUGCGUUAAAGUGCAAGAUAUAGCCCA